AACGAACGCUGGCGGCAUGCCUAACACAUGCAAGUCGAACGAGACCGUCCGGUCUAGUGGCGCACGGGUGCGUAACGCGGGGGAACCUGCCCUUAGGUUCGGAAUACCUCCCCGAAAGGGAUCCUAAUGCCGGUUAAUGUCUUCGGGCCAAAGAUGUAUUGCGUUUGGGUGGGCCCGCGUUGGAUUAGGUAGUUGGUAGUGGAAAAGCAUGCCAAGGGCAGGAUGCAUGGCUGGUCUGAGAGGAUGACCAGCUAGACUGGGACUGAGACACGGACCAGACUCCGACGCAAGGGAGCAGUGGGUAAUACUGGAGAAUGGGCGAAAGCGUGACACAGCAGUGCCGGGGGAGAGAUGAAGGGCUUAGGGUUGUAAAGCCCUUUGACCCGGGGUGAUAAUGACAGUAACGGGUGAAGAAGCACCGGCUAACUACGUG
rnacentral:rRNA from 1 species